GCUCCUAGGAUAGUGUGCUGCAUACCAAAGCUGUGACAGGGGUCUGUUCUUUAUCAUUCUGAAGGGUUCCCCGACAACAGAAGGAAUUGCCAACCAGCCCCACAUGACAGCACACGUAUUCAUGAGGAACCUUGGCAAGAAGACAAAAAUGCUUUUCCCAUGGGAGAUGGCUCGAGACCAGCUGUGUUUAUGCUGUUCUUUGACCACAAUAAAGAAUUAUUUGAUCAGGAGCCUGGAAACAAAGCCCUAUGAGGAGAGACUGAAAGAACUGGGCAUGUUUAGCCUGGAGAAGAGAAGACUGAGGGGAGAUAUGAUAGCACUCUUCAAGUACAUGAAAGGUUGUCACAUAGAGGAGGGCCAGGAUCUCUUCUUGAUCAUCCCAGAGUGCAGGACACGGAUUAAUGGGCUCAAGUUACAGGAAGCCAGAUUUCAACUGAACAUCAGGAAAAACUUCCUAACUAUUACAGCAGUACGACAAUGGAACCAACGACCUAGGGAGGUGGUGGGCUCUCCAACACAGGAGGCAUUCAAGAGGCAGCUGGACAGCUGCCUGUCAGAUGAAAUGAAGUGGCUAGUCUCAUUGAAACCACAGUGAAGUCACAACAAAACACUGCAAGGACAAUGGAAAUGUUAACUAGG